GCAGAACCUUGCAGUGGCAGCCUGGUCAGCCAUUCCUUGCUCUGAUAUGUAACCCUUCGGAGGCGAGAAGGUUUCCUGGAAGGUAUUAGUUUUCUGGGCUCUUGUUUGUGCCUGUUGAAAAGGCUCUCACUAAUUAUGGAAUGAGUCAUGCAAUCCUAUUGAAUUACAGUAUAUGCACCUGUAAGAUGUUCUGCCAAAUAAAACAGAUUCUCUCAAGGAUUUCUGAAUGUAUCAAUAUCAAAGCCUGCUUUGUUUGUGAUAGAGCAAAAAGUUUUACUUUGUGUGCAUUAUUUUAAGUGCACUCACAGGUUGCUGCCUUAUCAACCACACCCUGGUGUGAUGAAUGUAAGUGCCAGUCUCAGCACCUGGGCCUCCUUUGCAAUCUGAUGUCGAUAUGGGCAACGAGGCUCAACUGUUCUGGGUGUCCAGAAAGAAAGAGGAAAGGCUCUUUCUUCCCUGCACAUGGCCAGAAAAGCCCUGGGAGUACAAUGCUGUGGGUUGGGGGAAGGCAGUAGAAUUGGAAAGAGAAGCAAGUCAUUUUUCUCCAGAGCUACUGAAGCUUGCCAUUGAGUUCCUGCAAGGCAGAGUGAAGGUCUUCAUCCAGCUUGCCUAG
rnacentral:lncRNA from 1 species